CAAUGGGACCAGGUGACCGCCCUGAUUAUAUCUGGGAGGAAAGUCCGAGCUCCACCGGGCAGAAUGCUGGGUAACGCCCAGGCGGGGAAACCCGACGGAAAGUGCCACAGAAACAUACCAUCCCGAUGUAAUCGGGAUAAGGGUGAAAUGGCGAGGCAAGAGCUCACCGCUCUCCUGGUAACAGGGGAGGCAGGGUAAACCCCAUUCGGAGCAAGGCCAAAUAGGGGAUUUAAGGUGCCCGGCCUAUCCCUGGGUUGGCCGCUGGACCCCGAUGGCGACAUCGUCCUGCUUAUGUAGGAACCCCCAAUUAGUUUGGCGGGUGGGCUAGAUAGAUGGUCACCGCUCUGACGUAUGGAGGAGGAAGUCUAUACGAUGUAAACUCCAUGUGUUAGAGCACAGAACUCGGCUUAUAGGUCCCUCUGGCUA
rnacentral:RNase_P_RNA from 1 species